rnacentral:rRNA from 1 species
UACACACCGCCCGUCACACCAUGGGAGCGGGUUCUGCCAGAAGUAGUUAGCCUAACCGCAAGGAGCGCGAUUACCACGGCAGGGUUCGUGACUGGGGUG